GAUGAACGCUGGCGGCGUGCCUAAUACAUGUAAGUCGAGCGAACAGACGAGGAGCUUGCUCCUCUGACGUUAGCGGCGGACGGGUGAGUAACACGUGGAUAACCUACCUAUAAGACUGGGAUAACUUCGGGAAACCGGAGCUAAUACCGGAUAAUAUAUUGAACCGCAUGGUUCAAUAGUGAAAGACGGUUUUGCUGUCACUUAUAGAUGGAUCCGCGCCGCAUUAGCUAGUUGGUAAGGUAACGGCUUACCAAGGCAACGAUGCGUAGCCGACCUGAGAGGGUGAUCGGCCACACGGGAACUGGGACCCGGUCCAGACUCCUACGGGAGGCAGCAGUAGGGAAUCUUCCGCAAUGGGCGAAAGCCUGACGGAGCAACGCCGCGUGAGUGAUGAAGGUCUUCGGAUCGUAAAACUCUGUUAUUAGGGAAGAACAAAUGUGUAAGUAACUAUGCACGUCUUGACGGUACCUAAUCAGAAAGCCACGGCUAACUACGUG
rnacentral:rRNA from 1 species